CUACCCAGCGCUGUUCCCAACUGUGCUGUCUCACAGUCAUCUCAGCUCCUCGCCCAAGCUUUCCUGACAAACCUCCUCGUUCCUACCCUCACAACUUCCUGCAUCUCCCUUCACAGAGCAAUGCUGUAUCUGAAGAGUUCAACUCCCAUAGGAACGCUACAUAUUUCAGCAUCUGUAUUGCUUUGCAAGAAGAUAAAAGGCAAACCGCAAAAGAAAUGCGGAGGAGGAGGGAAUGGCCAAAUCCUCACUGCAAGGCCAGAUCUACUGAGACACAUCUGACAAGGCCAGCCCAAUGAGGAAUGCUACAUGGGAAUUUGCUUAAUUUCUAAUUCUAGGCACUUGGUAGCUGGUCCACUUCCUUUUCCACAGGAAAGGAGGACCCUGCCACACAGACCAGAGACACUACUCAGACAACAGGGAGCCUUCCUGCCCAGGAUCAACACUCUACCAAGCAGCAGCAACUGCUCCUCCAACUCUUUCAAGCAGAGCUUCAUCCUUUACAACACAAUUCUCCAAAAGCUGCAGAAGGCAACUGAACAGCUUGAAACCUCAGCUCAGACACUCGCUUGGUACGGAGAUUGGCUUUCACGACCAGGGGCUGAACACGUGACCUCGAGCCUCCUGUUCUUCCACUUCUUCACCACCCAGGACAUUCAGGGCACACCCACCUACAAGCCAGGGCCUGCAACUCCACACUUUGCAUGGCCAUUAAGACCACUGCUUUCGUCCACAACACAGGAACCCUGUGAUUCACUCAAGUCACUGACCACAGAGGAAGAAUUCCCAUACCCUGAAACAGCAAGUGCUCUUUUUCAGCUCAUCCAUCACACUUCUUCUCUAGGACGCCAACUAUUAAGGCCAUAAGUUCUACUGAUAUAAUUUAAAACAUGUCCCUUGGAAUAAUUCCCCUUGUUCAUUCAUUUCCAGGUGGCAACUUCUAGGAUGAUGAAUUCAUGUACUACACAAAAAAUUUCAACAAAGUACAGAGUCUGCAUUUUAGUCUAGUCCAUACAAAACGGACUAGGCUACACUGCUCCAGAAGCGCAAGGGCCUCGAGCACUACAGACACAUUAGCUAGAGACCUUAGCUCUGUCCCCCUACCCUUUACACCUUUUUCCCUGGCAUUUACCUGCUUCCUCCAUUCAGACUGCAGGCUCUGCAGCUCACCUUGCCUUGCACUCUCCUCCAACGUGUGAUAGGAGGAGCCUGGGCUCCAACCACUGAACACAGAAGCAGAAAGCGAUCAAUUCACCCUAUGCAGACUCCCAUUUUAACCUACACAUUCCAAACAACCUCCCCAGCCACAGCACAUUCCAGCAGUUCACUGCUUUAGCAAACAACCCUGUAGUCUCUCAGCAACAGCCUUACAGAACACAACCCGCUUCAUCUCCAGCCAUCAUGUUAGCUCACGCAUCAUUUUAACUCUGCUUGCUUCAUUCUGCCUCAGGCCCAGAUCACAUCAAGCAGACCAACCCCAACCAGAAGCACGAGCUCUCUAAAGCCUCAAUUAGCCAAGCAGAGGCUUCUGUACAACUGAGGAAGCCUCUCUAAUGAGAGCUUUCCUUCCAGCUCUUUGAUUAAGCAAAGUGGCCAGAACAGCAAAAGUGACAGAAAUGUUCACUGGGGGCCUUACAUUUAGCCUGUGUAGGCAGGCAAGCCAACAGCAGCUGACGGAGUAUGUGAGCACACACUCCAUGACUGAGAGCCCUGGGAAGUGACAGGAAGAGCUCUGCACCACAGUGCUGCCCAUUUCUUACAGUGCUUACCCCAAAAAUGCCUCAUGCACAGUCCAUUGAGCUUUGAGCUCUCUGUGCCAUGGAUGGUUUAUCUGAAAAAUGGGAGCAGGACAGAACUGCAGAGGUUUCCUCUUCUAGCAGGAGCAAAGACGGAAAAGGAAAAGACGGACGCAGAAUAAGCAAAAUAUCAUAUCCAAGGUCUUGGAGAGAUGUGGUUGACAGAGUGAUGCACAGAGGCUGUCCCAGUUAAUGACUUCACCAUUCUCCAUCAUUAUCCCCAUCAUUAGGAAAUUAGGAGGACAGAAGGUAUUUACUGUAAACCUGCCACCUCCCAAGGAGAGAUAAAUAGAAACUGAUAAAUGGGAUCUUCUGGUGCUGUUCGUCUAUUAACCUUCUGCUUCCCAGUUUAGGCAUAUGCAUGCUAUCCUGCCAUUAAUAUCCAGUAAUUGGCAUAGCA